GAUGAACGCUGGCGGCGUGCCUAAUACAUGCAAGUCGAGCGAACAGAUGAGGAGCUUGCUCCUCUGACGUUAGCGGCGGACGGGUGAGUAACACGUGGAUAACCUACCUAUAAGACUGGGAUAACUUCGGGAAACCGGAGCUAAUACCGGAUAAUAUAUUGAACCGCAUGGUUCAAUAGUGAAAUACGGUUUUGCUGUCACUUAUAGAUGGAUCCGCGCCGCAUUAGCUAGUUGGUAAGGUAACGGCUUACCAAGGCAACGAUGCGUAGCCGACCUGAGAGGGUGAUCGGCCACACUGGAACUGAGACACGGUCCAGACUACUACGGGAGGCAGCAGUAGGGAAUGUUCCGCAAUGGGCGAAAGCCUGACGGAGCAACGCCGCGUGAGUGAUGAAGGUCUUCGGAUCGUAAAACUCUGUUAUUAGGGAAGAACAAAUGUGUAAGUAACUAUGCACGUCUUGACGGUACCUAAUCAGAAAGCCACGGCUAACUACGUG
rnacentral:rRNA from 1 species